rnacentral:rRNA from 1 species
ACGCUCGACACCUACGGGAGCAGCAGUGAGGAAUAUUGGUCAAUGGACGCAAGUCUGAACCAGCCAUGCCGCGUGCAGGAUGACGGCUCUAUGAGUUGUAAACUGCUUUUGUACGAGGGUAAACGCAGAUACGUGUAUCUGUCUGAAAGUAUCGUACGAAUAAGGAUCGGCUAACUCCGUGCAAGCAGCCGCAGUAAUCUGAGCGGGCUGGCAAGGC